CCUACGGCGGCUGCAGUGGGGAAUAUUGGACAAUGGGCGAAAGCCUGAUCCAGCCAUGCCGCGUGUGUGAAGAAGGCCUUCGGGUUGUAAAGCACUUUCAGUGGGGAAGAAAGCCUUGGGGCUAAUACCCUCGAGGAAGGACAUCACCCACAGAAGAAGCACCGGCUAACUCCGUGCCAGCAGCCGCGGUAAUACGGAGGGGGCGAGCGUUAAUCGGAAUUACUGGGCGUAAAGCGCGCGUAGGCGGUCUGAUAAGCCGGUUGUGAAAGCCCCGGGCUCAACCUGGGAACGGCAUCCGGAACUGUCAGGCUAGAGUGCAGGAGAGGAAGGUAGAAUUCCCGGUGUAGCGGUGAAAUGCGUAGAGAUCGGGAGGAAUACCAGUGGCGAAGGCGGCCUUCUGGACUGACACUGACGCUGAGGUGCGAAAGCGUGGGUAGCAAACAGGAUUAGAUACCCGAGUAGUC
rnacentral:rRNA from 1 species